UAUAUUGUGAGGAGUUGAGAUUUAGCGAAGGAGUCGAAACUAGGAAAGACUUCCUAAGCCAAUCUCAAAUA
rnacentral:sRNA from 23 species